rnacentral:tRNA from 1 species
ACUUUUAAAGGAUAAAAGUAAUCCAAUGGUUUUA